CGGGCUAUAGCGCAGCUGGUUAGCGUGCUUGUCUGGGGGGCAAGAGGUCUCGGAUUCGAAUUCCGAUAGCCCGACCA
rnacentral:tRNA from 1 species